UACGUAGGGUGCAAGCGUUAAUCGGAAUUACUGGGCGUAAAGACGUGCGCAGGCGGUGAUGUAAGACAGGUGUGAAAUCCCCGGGCUUAACCCUGGGAACUGCAUUUGUGACUGCAUCGCUGGAGUGCGGCAGAGGGGGAUGGAAUUCCGGCGUGUAGCACGUGAAAUGCGUAGAUAUGCGGGAGGAACACCGAUGGGCGA
rnacentral:rRNA from 1 species